GAGACGGGUCUUGCGUUACUGACGGCCACUCGCGACCCCGACCGAUCGCGAUUGCGGCGGUGCCCGUCUUCAGCCUCUACGCUGCCUCAAGCCGGAAGCGCCCAAGUCAGAGGCCUUGGGUCUUAAUAUGGAGCCAUGACUGUCUUGGAACUUACUAUGUAGACCAAGUUGACCUUGAACUCACUGAGAUCUACAAGCCUUUGUCUCUGAGUUUGCAAUUAAAGGCAUGCACCACUCUGGCAAACCACCACAUAUUUUGAGACCCCAAUUAUCUUACUAUGUGCAUGUGCACAGAUCAAUUAGUGCUUUUACUAAACUGGGUGUAUUUAAAUUUUGUUUUUGGCUUUUUGUGUGUGGUAGUUUGAAUCGAAAUGGCCCACAUAGGCUCAGGUUUCAGUUCCUGGUCCCUAGUGAGUACAACUGUGGGAAAGAUUAAGAAGUAUGGCCUUGGGGUUGGGGAUUUAGCUCAGUGGUAGAGCGCUUGCCUAGGAAGCGCAAGGCCCUGGGUUCAGUCCCCAGCUCCGAAAAAAAGAACCAAAAAAAAAAAAAAAGUAUGGCCUUGUUGGAGGAAGUGUGUCACUUGUGGUGGGUAACCAUUCCCAGUAAGCUCUCUCGCUGUAAAUGUAAAGUCCCAGCUACUGCAUGCCUGGCAUCACACUCCUCUCCACGAUGGUCGAGAUUCUGAAACUGUAAGCGAGCUCCAACUAGACGUUUUUAUAAAUUGUUUUGGGCUUUGUCUCUCUUCACUACAGAAACUAAGACUGCAACCACGGACGCACAUGUGCCACUCGGGUGUAGCCCUACAGUCUACCUUGUUUAAAACUGAUUCUUGUUUUGCUACCACAGAUAGGCUAGCCCGUCUGCAAACCUCCAGGGACUCUUUUCUCCCUAGUACAUCUCUCACUGUAGGAACACUGCAUGCCACUGGAAGCCAUCUGGGUUCUAAGGAUUCCAACUCACACAGUCAGGCCAGGUGACCUAGUCUACCCACUGACCUAUCCUGAGUGCCCACUAUGGAGGUCUCUGCUUUUUCAUGUAUGAAGGGAUCUUGCUGUGCUGCUAGUCUCCAUUUACAGGCUCAAGUGAUUAUCUCAGUUCAGUCUCCCAUGUAGCUGCUAGGACAGGCAUGUGACACGUGACACGGAGUGUGCUUUUCUGUUUGUUUUUCAAGACAGGGUUUCUCUAGGGAUCCCUGGGAAUCCUUCUCUAGACCAGGCAGAGAUCCAUCUGCCUCUGCCUCCCCAGUGCUGGGAUUAAAGGCACGAGCCACCACUGCCUGGCUGUGACAGUGUAUCAUAAUUGCAAGUCUUUGGUUUUUGGCUAUAGGGUGUAGUUUGAGGCUGUGUCUCACUCUUUACCUAGGCAGUCCUUGGGUUUAUGGUGAUCGGCCUGCCUAUACCUCCCAUAUGCUGGGAUUACAAACAUGAGGCAUCAAACUGGCUUUAGGUCUUUUUGUUUUUCUUUUUACUUUUUUUUUUUUUUUGGACACCGGUGUCUUUUAUGUAGCCCAGGGUGAGCUACAACUUAAGAUUCCCCUUCCUUUGAGACCCCAGUGCUGUAAUUGGUAGCAUGCAGUACCUACCCACCUAGGAAAGGUGAUUCCCAGAGCUGACGGUCAAUAUAAACAAUCCCUUUUAAAGAACGGAGAAGGGGAAAAGACUGAAGAAGGAAAUGAACAUCUGACAUGGGCAUAGCCAUGUGAAGGACCAAAAAGCCUCAGCCCCAUGGGAGUGGCAAAGCUUUCCUUAGCUGAGGCUCAGAGAGGGGCAAAGCCUUCCUCAGGUCCUAGUUUGAAUGCUGACGGUGUGCCCCUACAUAGACUAGCUAGACCCUCCUCUUUGUUUAUCUGUAAUAGCUCUGUUUCCUGUUCGGCUGUAUGCAAUAACCCCUCUCCCUGGUCAGCUGUGUGUUAUCAACGUGCAGAACUCCUCCAUCUCAGGGAGUCUGUGUCCAUGUGUCUGCUGUUUCUUUAGAAGUUUUCAUUUCUUCUUUUCUCUUGUCUCCCCUCGUCAGCACCCCUGGACCCAAGCUGUUCAAGGACCAGGCAAACUGGCUUUGAGGGCUGUGGGUCCAUGCUGGAACGUCUAACAUAAGUAUGCUCUCAGAACUGACAUAAUUGAGAAUGGAGCAGAGCAACUGAGAAAGUAAUGGCAUGGCAAAGUGGUUGCUCAAUUUAGUGAAAGAUUCUAAUUUCUAUAUAAUCAAUAUAUCAGCAACCUCAUGCUAGCUCACAACUAUCUAUCUGUAAUGAGAUCUGAUGCCCUCUUCUGUUAUGUCUGAAGAUGGUGACAGUGUACUCAUACACAUUAAUAUAUAUUAAUAUACAUAUUAAUAUAUAUUUAUAUAUAAAACAACACAAAUCAGGAUGGUCAUGAGAAACAGGAGAGCUCUGUAAGGACCCAUAGAUAAACAUUUUUGUGUGUAUUUCUGUCAUAAAUGUGAAUGUUGUUACUGUAUUGUGCUUUAAUCAUUAAUUGAUUUGUGUGUCUCUCCAGUAAAUCCUGAAUUCCUUGAUGUUAAAAAAAAAAGAAGGAAAAGCUAUAGGGAGAGGGAGAGGGAGACAGACAGAGACAGAGACAGAGACAGAGACAGACUAUCACUGGAUGUGAUAUAGGCCAGGUACUCAGGGAAAAAUCAAAGAAGAAUCCAAGUUGAAGAGCAAGUGAGGUGGAACAUGUCCAUACAUCGUCCUGUACUUAGGAGAGGAUGGCAAGAGGAUUGCACUAAGUUUGAGGACAGACCAGCCUGGGCUGCACAAUGAAAACUCUCGAGAAGGGAGGUAUGGACGGUGACACGCCUGAGCAAUUAAGAGCACUGGCUGCUCUUCCAGGGGACCCAGGCUUGAUUCCCAGCAACCACAUAACAGCCACAAGCACCAGCAAUUCCAGUUUCAGGGGAUCUUCUGUCUCCUCUAGCACCCGGUGUACAGACAAAACACUCAUACACCUAUGAAGCACAGCUUAGAAGAAACCUCGGAGAAACCAGGGGUUAAUCACACCAGGGUUGUUAUUUUCUUCAAAGCCAGGGAAUGAAUGAUGCCUGACCCCUGAAGUGCUGGAGUGACCAACAACCUGUGACCCUCUGCUCAUCAGUUAGGAGGCCGCCUCCACCUGACCCCCAUAUCCUGAGCUCUGCCUCUCAGCAAACAGAACACAGCCUUGUGAGAAAGGCCCCAUGUGCGUAUUUUGCAUUCACCAACAGAAUCUAUCCUUAUGCUAACCCAGACCCUUCCUCAUAGCCAGCAGUUCCCAAACUGUAGGUCACAUAAUCAGACAGCCUUCAUAUCAGAUAUUUACAUUUCGAUUCAUCAAAGUAGCAAAAAUACAGUUUUGAAAUAGCAACAAAAAAAUUCUAUGCCGGGGUCACCACACCAAUCUUAGGAAGGUGGAGAACCACUGGACUAGGUCCUAGUCAUGAGCUCUAUCACCAGCCCAAAAAUUUACUCUUAUUGUAAAAGGUCACAAGAGCUUUGGUUCUUUGCAAAGAAAUUUUAGUGUAGCCAGCCCUGAAGCUUUGUUAUGAGACUUACUGCAUGGAGACUUUCCCUCACAGUUUCACUAUGUCUCAAUGUGUAAGGACAAUAAACCACUAAGCCAGUCCCCAAAGGGCAAUGAUCCAGUCCUACAAAGAUGGCACUGUCUCCAGUCUCAUUCUUCAGCUCUUGAGGACUGUGUGGCUGUCUCCUACCCAACUAACCAACCCAGCCGGCAGGCUUAGAGGAGGAAUGUCCCUUGCCACACCAACCCCAGUAGAUUCUAUGUGACAAGUUCCACAGACUGAAGCGAAAACUUCAAAAGAAGGAGGCCUCCUGGAACCGGUUGUGGAACUCUUGACCGGAGAAAAAUACUGAGCCAUGGUUCUCAAGGCAAUUUGUCUGUCCUAUCUUUUUCUAUUCUCUUUCUUAUUCAUGAGAUGUUCCUGAGAGCCUAGACUAGGACUUUAUGGCCUCAUAUCUGGAGAAGUAGGUGUUUUACUUCACAAAUCAUUUACAAAUCACACAAUAGUGGUAAGACACAUAACUUUUCCAACAACAAAUGAUUUUUGUAUGCGUGUGUUGUUGGAGGUGGGCUUGGCAUAUUGGUAAAGAAAGCAUUAUUUUAAGAGAAGAAUUAAAAAUAGUUUUAAAUUAUACUAAAUGCUAGAUAAUGAUUGCCCAUAAAAAUGUACCAACUUGUUUAGGAAUUAUACUUUACUAAUAAGUGCCCAGAAAGGUCUUAUGAACCUGCUCUUGCAAGUAUGCCAUCAGCACCCAGUGAUUCUUGUGCUUUAUUGUGCCAAGUGAUAACGACGUUACCUGCUUCAUCCAUGACUGCUUCAUUGAACACACUUUUUAGAAGUUGUAAUACUUGAAUGAUUUUGUAUUUUCUUAUGCCAAAUUAAUAUGAUAAUUGUUCUACUGGACUGCUUCACUGAACACAUCUUUUCAGAGUUGUAAUACCUGUUUCUUUAAGCAUAAAAACCCUUGCUUGAGAGCUGUGGAAUACACUCAGAUUCAAACUGC